GAUAACCAAAGAUUUGUCCAGGAUCGAGAUUGGGUUGCACCAAGCGGACUUGUUCAAUGAGGGGAUCGUAGAUGCCCCCAAAGCGAGUGGCUUUCAUCACCAGCAGUGCCGCUCCCAUUCCCAGUAAUACGAGAUGAAUGCCGAGAAUCGUGGUCAUUUUGUUGCCAUCUUUCCA
rnacentral:antisense_RNA from 1 species